AAAUCGAAUUUUGAGUUAAACGAAUCGAGUUAUUCGAAUCAACUCGAAUUUUUUUUUCAAAUUUCGAGUUCGAAUCGAGUUGAGUUUUCGAAUUCGAAUAACUCGAAUAAUUAGAAUAUCAAACUAUAAUAUUUUACAUCUUUACCCCAAACUCUCAAACCUUUUUACUUUUCCCUCAAAACUUUUACUCAUUCCCACUUUCCCCACCAAAACUUUUACUCCCCUCCCCUCCCAACCCCCCAAUCUACACAAAAUCCAUUUCCCACCAAAAUUUCACUCUCCCAUUUACUUUUUCUCAAAAUUUUACUCCCAAAAACCCUCAAAACCUUUUAUUUUCCCCCAAAAUUUUUACUCCCUCCCACUUUUCCCCUAAAACUUUUAUUCCCUUCCCAUCCCACCUCUCAUCUACCCCAAACCCUCCCCCCACCAAUUUUUGUUAAUAUUUUCCCUCCAAAAUUUUACUCCCUUAUUUACUUUCCCUCAAACUUUUAUUCCCCAAAACUUUUUUUAUUUUUCCCCUGAACUUUUACUUCUC
rnacentral:lncRNA from 1 species